AAUAUUGGACAAUGGGGGCAACCCUGAUCCAGCCAUGCCGUGUGUGUGCAGAAGGUCAUCGGAUUGUAAAUCACGUUACGUUGGGAGGAGGGGUUGUUGGCUAAUAUCCAGAAAUUUUGUCUUUACCAAUCUAAUAAAUACCCGCUAACUCUGCGCUAGCAACCGCGGUAAUACUGACGGUGCAAGAGUUAAUCGGAAUUACUGGGCGUAAAGCGCGCGUAGGUGGUUCAGUAAGAUGGGUGUGACAUCCCCGGGCUUAACCUGGGAACUGCUUUCAUAACUGCUGAGCUAGAGUACGGUAGAGGGUAGUGGGAUUUCCUGUGUAGCGGUGAAAUGCGUAGAUAUAGGAAGGAACACCAGUGGCGAAGGCGACUACCUGGACUGAUACUGACACUGAGGUGCGAAAGCGUGGGGAGCAAA
rnacentral:rRNA from 1 species